AAGAAUAAUAAUGUUAUAUAAAAAAGCUGCUAACUUUUCUAUACGCAACUCAUAAUUGUGUUAUUCUUU
rnacentral:tRNA from 1 species